CUGGUUUCGACGGGGGUCGCGAAGUCGCUUGGCGCAUGCCGAGGGGGCAGCUUUCCUCGUUAAUCCAGCAGCAAACUUUUAGUUGCCAACGAUGACAACUACGGUUCGGACUUCGCUAUCGCCGCUUAAUUGGCUUUAGUUGUAGUUCUACAGCCGCCUAAGGCGAACCCCCGAACCUACUUGUGCCCGUGCUCGUAGGUGUAGGGUCAUUAUCACGGAACCAUCGGUAGUGACUGCCUGUCAGCUACCGGUCAGAUAAAGCAGGCUGGUUUCCAGGUGCGCUUUGCCAACCGUGCUGCCUGGGAACGAGA
rnacentral:misc_RNA from 1 species